AUGCACUUCGACCGCCUGGUGCGCCGCCACCACCUGCCCCGCGUCCUGCGCCGCGCCAAGGCCCUCUUCGCCGGCUACCUCGAGGGCUGGGGGGGAGCCCCCGCCGCCGGACCCCCGUAGGAGACGCGGCGGGGACGGCGCCGGGAGCUCGGGGUCGCCGCGAGGAGCUCAAGGUCACCAUGAGGAACUCAAGGUCUUCUUUGGGGACGCCUUGGUCACUGGGGGGACUUGUAGGACAAUGUGGAGACCCCAUAAAACAUCUCCGGGAGACCCUGAGGACAUCAUGAGGAACUCAAGGGCACCAUGAGGAACUCAAGGUCACCAUGAGGAGCUCAAGGUCACUCUGAGGAGCUCAAGGUCACCAUGAGGAGCUCAAGGACACCAUGAGGAACUCAAGGCCACCAUGAGGAGCUCAGGGUCACCAUGAGGAGCUCAAGGUCCUUGGGGAUCCCUUGGUCACUGUGGGACUUGUAGGACAAUGUGGACACCCCAUAAAACAUCUCCAGGGAACCCCAAGGACACCACCAGGAGCCCAAGGCCACCAUGAGGAGCUCAAGAUCUUCUUUAGAGACCCCUCAGUCACCAGGGGGACUCGUAGGACAAUGUGGGGACCCCAUAAAAUGUCUCCAGGGGACCCCAGAGGUAUCAUAUGGGGACUUGUAGGGCUUCUUUGGGGACCCCAAGGCCACCACAAGGAAAUCAAGGUCACCACAAGGCGCUCGCACCACGGGGACCUCCAGGUCUUCUUUGGAGACCCCUUAGGUGUGUAGGACAAUGGGACUCGUAGGACAAUGUGGAGACCCCAUAAAACGUCUCCGGGGCAUCCCAAGGGCUUCUUUGGGGACCCCGAGGCCACCACGAGAACUUCUGGGUCGUCUUUAGCAGGACAAUGUGAGGACCCCCUAAAACAUCUCCAGGGGACCCCAAGGACAUUGUGGGGACCCCGAGGUCACUGUGGGGUCUGUAGGACAAUGUGGAGACCCCCUAAAACAUCUCCAGGGGACCCCAAGGGCACUGUGGGGUCUGUAGGACAAGGGGAGACCCCUAAAACAUCUCCAGGGGACCCCGAGGUCACUGUGGGGUCUGUAGGACAAGGGGAGACCCCUAAAACAUCUCCAGGGGACCCCAAGGUUGCUGUGGGGUCUGUAGGACAAGGGGAGACCCCAAAACAUCUCCAGGGGACCCCGAGGCCACCACAGGGACCCCAAAGACCCCCUAUGGGGACAUGGGGCUUCUCUUUGGGGACCCCAAGGCCACCCUGGAGACCCCUCGGAUCUUUGG